CUGGAACCGUCUAUGAAAGUCAACCCAAGCACCUCUUCCAACACCUGGGGCUACGGGUGACCUUCUAGGCUUUGCUGUUACACCAUUUCAGGAGCCCUCCUUCCCCCUGGGGCUGGCUCUGCUUGGAAGCGGCGGAGGCCUGUGGUGUUGCCAAGUCCGUUGCUGCAGACCUCUUUGUUCCCCAAGAGAAUGCGUAAAGGCUCUUUUUGAUCCCACUGCACAUCGCUGGGCUCUGCUGACCUCCAGACAUGGAGAGCACCACGAGGAGGAAAAGGACUCAGCACGUGACUGGGCUUUGCGGCCAGCUCUGGACCACAAGCUCCUUGCCCAGAUAUCUUGCUGAUAUCCCUCGCCAUAUGGGAUGUGUGUGGUGCUGCUUCCUCCUGGCUGUCACUCGUGGGGUUCUGCCCCGGCUCCGAAGCUCCGUGCGUGGGAACAGCUCCUGGCUGGGGCUCAUCUCUGUCUGCAGGAGCUGCUCGGCCUCUUUCAGCACAUCUCAGUCUGUUUGGAGACAGUUCCCACAAGCAUCUCUUCUCCAGGUGUAGCGGCUUUCUCUCCCCCGUGUUUCAGCCGUGGUAUCACAUUAUUUAUGGUUUCCUGCCUGUUGGCUGGUUUGGAAGUCAGCAAUUCCCCGAGAUGAAGUUGUACGAAGUUGGCUGGUGCUGAAUUUGCAUUUUUUUUUUCCCAGAAGAGAGAGAGAUCGAGGGAAAAAACGUCACCGUGCUGCAUCACCGGGCACUCCAUCCCACGGGUCUGCCCAUCCUCACCCCUCCAACGCCAACGCCCCUCAGGUGGUGAUCCCCACGUCCCCGCUCGGACGCGGGAUCACAGCUCCAACUCCCCUUCCCAGCACAUCAUCAACAUGUUGUUUCCAGGGUCAUAAAUUUGCACGGUGAUGAGACACAACCAGAUGUUCGGCUACGUGAAGCGACUGGCGAAGCAGCCUGCCUGGCGCAGCCCCCGCCGCCGGAGCCAGCCGCCUGCUAAUGAGAAGCAGGUCUCUCGCCUCGCGCCGGGCCAGCACAGACGGGGAGCGUCCCCGGGAGCACCUGCAGAGCUGCCAUCCCGACCCCCGGCCUGCUCUCGGCGUCCGGGGAGCGACUACAGGCUCUUUGGUGUCUAUCGGCUUCUGGCGGCCAUCUGGAAAGCGAGUGCGGCCUAGCGCAGAGGGGACGUUCAAGGCCGCGGUCCUUCUUGCUAGCAAGGAAGCCGGUCACGAUGCAGUGUGAUGCUUUGUCGUGUACAAAUACUUCUGAGACGCAUGUUCUGUAUGGAUGAGCAGUUCGGUUCUUGAUGGAGAGGCCCACGGGGAUGUGAGGUCUUAGCUCAGGAUGCUGAGGCAGUACCCUCUGCCGGGAGCUGGUGUUGACUCGAGAUGCCCGUUUCCAUGACUUUGAAUGCCUGCGUCCCCUGAGUGGGUUGAAAAGUGCUGAAAAGGGAACGUGGGCUGCGGUGGUCCUCAGGAUGGCUUUCGGCCAAUGCGUGGCAGAUGCUACCCCUGCAACAUGCUUGUGAUGUUUUGGGAUGUGCACUAAACAUCUGGGAAACACACCCUGAUGGCAGUCCCUGGGCACAACCAUCAUGGGGAGGCUUUCUCUCUGUGGUCUUCUUCUGGAAGCCUCUGGAGGUCCCAGGGACAAGCCUGAGCCCCGUGUGAGGCUGGCACGGCUCCAUCGCUGCCUCGUGGCAUCAAACCAGCCCUUGCAUCACAGGGUGAGUCUAGGAUGAAGGAUGGUCCCAUGUGAAGGUCUGGUGUUGGUGCCUCUCCUCUGUUUCUUUGUUCUUCCCUGGAUCACAUGGGCAGUGAUGGCACCUCCUCAUACACCUACAUGCACUCUCCCAUCGCCUGGGCACAGACGAGUGAUAGGAGUGUGUACGUGGGUGGGCUGCACAGAAGACAGAGGACCUAUUUUGAAGAAAAAGAAUAAGGAGCAUGUUGGUACAAGGCUCCAGAGCUGCAAGUUGAUCCUGGGUGGUCACUCUUUGCUUGGAGGUUCAGGAACAGCCUCCAGAUUAGAAGAGGAGGAGAUGGAUCUUGAAUAAUGCAGCAAUUGGAGAAACUGGCAUUUUGCUAGACAGCAGACCAAGCAGCUGUGCCUCCCUGCAAGCAUCCCAGACGUGAGCUGCACCUUCCCAGGCACUUCCUUUUGCUCACCAGAGCAUGGGCACCAAGGCACGUCACUUCCUAAAGAGUGGGAAGGUCUGGAGGAAGGGAAGGACCUGCCUUCAGGUACGCAGAUCAUCCCCUGACCUCAUCACCCCCUGAUUUCCCUAAUGAGCCACAGGUGGAAGCGCUGAGAGCAAAACCCAGGUCUCACCGCCAAACCACGCCAAGGGGGCACAGUGUCUUCAUCGUGGCCCCACCAGGGAGCUGUGGCUGUUCCCCAUGGGAUGCCUGUGCCCAUGACAGAGCUGCUGUGCGGCCCUGGUGAAGGUCAAGCAGGGAUCGCUGGCUGCAGUUCAAACCUGGCACCGGGGCUAAAAGGUUGACGCAGUAACUCUGAAGACUGCUAAACAAGAAAUAGACUCCUCUACAAGGGGAAAAAAAAAAAAAAAAAAAAAAAAGUCCCUGGGAGAAGAGAUAUUUCAACCCCUUCUUGAUUUAUGACCUACUAUAGGAUAUUGAGACAUUAUUUACAAUCGAUAUAUGCUCCUGCAGGACUCCCGCCGGAGCCAUAGACCCUGCCUGUUAGAGGCAGACCGGUCAGCUCGCGCCUCCGGAGCGCGGCCGUGUCCUGUUGGAGCGAGCAAGGAGCCGCACGCCGCCGUAUAUCUCUCAGAAAAUGGACCUGGUUACACGUGUCUUUGGGCAGCUGACAAGGGGAUGUAGUUUAGGGCUAAGACAGCAGCUCGGUAGCAGAAAUCAGCCUCGCCGAUAAUGAAAUCUCUUGCACGACGCGCUGAGAGCUCCGCAGCCUUAAAGGUGCAAAAUGGAGUUGUUCCGUUGGCUUGCAAUGGAGUCGGGCCAAUUCUGAAGCGAGCCCUGGAUUUUAUUCUGGGAUUUUAUCUUUAAAGGGGGAUUUGCAAACACUUGAAGGAGGGGAGGGGGGGAAGUUCAUUCAGCGUAAAAUUGCGUCCUGGCCGAAUUCCAGUUUGGGUAAUUACAUUCUCUUUCUGUAGCGGCUGCAGGACAAAGGGCCAUUCAUCACGCUCCAAACUGCUGCAAAGGGCUCCCGUGCUCCUCCGCAGAAGGGGUUGAAACUUUUCUCCCCGUGGUUGAGGCCACUCCAGAGAGUAAUGGAGCUUGGCAGGGUUUUAGGAUGCUUUUGGGUGAGAUAUAGGGGCAAGCGCGUCGUCACGCGCCGCUCGGCCUGCAGCAAAUCUGGAUCUGUAGGAAAGAGAGGUGAAGCGAAGAGCUCUGCGACUGGCUGAGGAGGUUUCUGCUGUGCGUGGAGAGCAUUUUUGGGACAGGUUCCUGAACUGUGAGUGUUUUAGCUGGACCCUUCCUCGUUGCUGAAACAGAGUCUUCCUGCUGCUCUUUGUCUCUUGCUCGUGUUUGCACUUCCAGAGUGUUUGCACACAGAGAUGCACAUGAAGAAAAUGCGUUAAGGAAAAGUUUCCGUGUUGUUGCUGAGGAUGGUUGGAUUUCAGUUUGCACCUGCCAGGAGUCAUUUCCCCUUGGCCUCCCACCUCCCUGGAGGAGCAUCUCCCCUCCAGGAGCAGUGCUGUAUCAUACUCCAUUGCCAUAAGAGGUGACUCCAGGGCCCGCAAUACUGCAAGAGGGUCCCCGGGAGCCAGAGGGGCAACCUGUGCAGGUGUCGGGCAGCCAGAGGCUGCCGAGUCCCCAGGACCAGCAGCUAGAGGGAGAUACGACCUCACGCUCAGGGCCAGCCUCUUCCUGCCGCCGAUGCCUGUCGGAAUGCCAAAGAAAAUCCACUCGCUCUCCAAUGUUUAGGGUCCACGUAAUGAAUGGCCGUAAUGCAGGCUUCAUUACGUGGAAUAAGGAAUUCUCGAGAUGAAAGACUUUGAAAAUGGCUCUUGCUGGAGUUUCUGCCAAAGCGUUUCUUAGUCCCUGUCUCCAUGGGGAAGUUUUAUCAGGUGUAUCAUGAUCAGUGUGCAGGGGUCCAGUUACACCAGGAAGACUGUCUAGACGCUUUAAUUCCAGCACAAAAAGAGCUUUUUUUUUUUCCCCCUUAGCUUAAAUUCAUUUGCAAACAGCCUUCACAACAUCGGCGCUGCUUGAGCAGUGCCAGAAUCUCCCAGAGCAGAGCACGUUUUGAUGUUUGAAUCCCCUCCCUGCCCUGCCCAAACACCGCUCUGCUCCCAUCACAGCCCUGGCUCAGUAGGUGGAGGUGACACAGAGCUCGGCAGAGAGCUCUCAGUCCCCAGGUUUUAUUCUGAGGCUCCCCAGGCUCUUGCCUGAGUCCUGCCAGGUAUCAUCUCCUGUACUUCUUCAUUUCCAGAUGUGUCUUCCUUUGCUGAUUUCUCUUGCGACUCCUCUUUUUCCCUUUGCAGUCCCGACGCUAAGUGUGAAUACCCUUUUCCUCCUUAAGGCUCAAAGCCUUGCUUGAAGGGUUGUUCCACCUGCCUGUCUAAUUAAAAGAAAAACUCUGAAAUCUCCUCCCUGUUCAAGUCUUCAGUCAUGUUGUGCAUGUCAAUAGCGUCCUAGUUCUGCCCUAGUUUUUGUGCAGUUUUCCUGUGAAUUUCAAUAUCCAGGAUCAGUAUGAACUUAAAUGAGCGUCAGAAGCAAGCCCAGGAGCAGGUAGGAGCUUGGGUAUAAGGAGCAGCCCAGUUUGGCCAGUUUGGAGCAGCCAUAGAGCAAUGGCUGACGCGGGAGGAGGGAGUGAGGCUUCAGCUGGUAGUAGUUAAUUAUGUUCCACUGUAAGCUUUGUCCUGCUGCAAAGCAAAAUGGAUCCGAGGACGUCACACAGUUCGCGUUAGGCGAGAAGAUCACAGUGUUACACAUCUUUUUUCCUCCUAACUAUCUGUCUACAUGCUUACUGCAAGUCAGGUUGCCAGGAGUGUAACUGAAUAAUUACCCUGUGCUGCCUUAUGGUAACCUUUGCAAGAAAGUGUUUAGAUCGAGGAACCGUGUGAACUACUCAUUAAUAUCUUAUAGGUCAGAGCUAAGGAUGUUGCAUUGUGAUGAAAUAUGUAUUUCUCCUUAUUUCUUAGGAAAAUGGGCUCCUGAGACAGAGGAAGAUUUAUGGUGAUCUUAAUUAGUUAUUUCCUAGCUUUCAAAAUGUUUGGGUUUCAGCGACGAUAUGAUAGAUAAUUAACUUGUUGUCACGCGGUGACUUUUAAAAUUAAAUGUUUGUCCUCCAUAAUAUUUAAUCUCUGUAUGCAUCACAUGUGUGCCAUAGAACAUAUGCACAGGUAUAUAGAGAGAAAUGCAUGCAUACACAUCCCUGCAGUGUUCCCAUCAUAGCACGAUGCUCACGCCUUAGACGGUGAGCCCAGGGUGUAGCAGCACAGUGCUGCUAAGAGGUGGGGUGUCGUAUUUUCUGCUGAAAUAGGAAGGUCUGAAGGAAGAGAGCUGCAUCCCUCAGUGCUGCAUCCCUCGGGGACAGCAGGGAUCUGGAGAGCAGCUGCUGGGAAGGCAGAGGGAAGGGCAGCACUGACCCCAAAUGGAGGUGGGCCCUCGUGCCUGUAGUGCCUUGUUGUUGCAGGGAGCGUGGUAUCCUUUUUGUUGUUGCUGUCGUUGUUAUCUUUAGGGUUUUUCAUCAAAGCUUUAUAAAUAACAGGCAAAAUCCCCCAGGGAAGACCCUCCCAACCAGCCGCCUGUUGCAGAUCCUCCAGGAAACGGGAGGCGGAGGGAAGGAAGGCUAAAUUUGGUGGCUCUUAUUUUUAACAAGGGCUAUUUCAAUCCAUUUAAACCCACGCAAAAAAAAAAAAAAAAAUGCAGAGCCAUGGGAAACUUCUGCUGGUGCCGGAGGAGCCUGGUAAGGUCUGCAACAUAGCCAAGGGGAUCACGGGGAUGGGGAGCUGGGAGAUGCAGUGAGGUGCUCAAGGCUUUGCACAAGCAAAGGCUUUCCUCAAGCAAAGCCAAGAAAUGAGCUUGCGUCCCUCAAAGUCUAGGCGUGAAAGCUGCUUUUAUUUUGCUUUAUGGAAAACUCCACCAUGAGCUUGCUCCCCUCGGCUGGCCCUUGCAGGAGCUGGCCAUUCACAGCACUGGACUUGGAGGCACAUGCAGUGGCUUGGCAGCAUCCAUCCGUGCUCCCCUGGCACUCCUCUGAGAGUGAAGGUGUUCACCUUGGUGUCCUGGCCUCCUGUCAGGGUAAGUCAUUACAUUCAGCCUCCAUAACCGAGUCCACUGCCCCCAGGCUGCACAGUGCCCAGCGUGCCCCAACCCAGCACCACAGUGCAGGAGCCUGGGUGGUAACCAGGCACACAGAGAACACACUCAUCCUAACACUGACGUGUUUCCUGCGCAGACUGCAAGCUGAAGCUGUUGAAUCAGGUUGGGUCCAGGACACAAGCGAUGCAAAAGGUCUCAGCAGGAGGAGGCAUGGUGGCAUGUUCCAGGUCGCCUUGUCAUGGAGUUUGUCACAGGUUGGCUGCUUGGGCUUCAUUUCUGAGGCUGGGGACUGUGAGUCUGAGGACUGCAGGGCCUCCAUUUUGGAGGCUGGUUGGCUGCUGAGCGGUGCGCAGGCCUCACGAGCUGCUCUUUCGCGCCGCUCCUCUGUGUGUGGGAAAGGAUUUCAAGAAACUAUUGACCAAAUGAAACCUCCGUAAUGCUUCUAAAUACUCAAACACAUUAGACAUGCCUGCCCAGCUCAGAGAUAAAUUAGAGCUAUUAUCACUAGAGCCCAGACAAACAAACGGAGGGCUCUCUCCAAACAAGCCAUUCACUCAAGAGACUGGAUUUACAAGGGUCAGGGAAGCAGCGUGAGCUGUAGGCACCUGCUUUCUUCUGAAACCUCUUUAAAUUGGCCAUAUUGACUGGGGCAGAGGGAAGGGAGGGAGCACUGCUCUGCCCUUUGGGGUGUGGCGAUCCCAUCCGUGCGCGGCACCGUGAUGUACUGCUGGCAUUCUGCUCUCUGUCUGCAAUUAAAAGCUGCAAAUCCGACCCUAAUCCAUUUUGUUUUUCUCCCAGAUGUGGUUGGGAGAGUGAGGGGCUUGAGAACGUCAGAGAUGCUGAGGCUGUUUGCUCUGCUCUGCUCUUGGGUUUUUGCUUCUGCUCCUACGGAGGGGUGGGAGCUGCGCUGGUGGUAAGGUGGCGAUGGGAGAGGUCAGAUCAAAUCAGCAUCUUGGGCAUCACUGAGACUGCCUGAAAGGGUAAACAGAAGCUGCAGUGUGUAUUUUGGGCUUGGUUUCAUGUGGAGGAGGGAGGAAGGAGCAGACACAAAGAAUAAAGGGAAGAAAAGAGAGCAUUAUCCUGCUGCCUCGAUGCAGGGAGCCUGGUAGCACAGCUAGCCACAAUGGCUGUAGGACUCAGCCCAAAACGUGGCUGGGUGUGUGCAGACAGGCCGUGCUCAGUCCCAAACCCAGCCUUGGUGCAACCAAAGGGAGCUGUGGGCUCAGCAGCACCGCGACCCCAACUGUGCGCUGAGCAUCACAUGGUGGCUGUGAUGGAGAGCACUGCUGUCCUCGGAGGGAUACUCUUGAAGCCAAAGGCUUGGUCCUGAACCUGCAUCUCGUCUUGGAAGACAUCCAGUCUCCGUGUGCGACCUCUGGCCAUUUCCCUUGGUAACCAGACCUGGUGAUGAACUACCCUCGCUGUUCAAAAUUGUCUUUUAUUUCCCAUUCAAGGUUCCCUCACUCAGUGUUGUCAGCUCCCGCUAUUUAUUUUGGGUUGCUCUGCUUACUGUGCCUUUUACCUGCGAGCCUAACAAUCAUGCCAGUCUCAGCUAUUUUCACUCUCUGGGUAUCUGGGCUCAAGUCACGACGAAGAUUUCCUCUGACUGCUGAGCAGACAGAGCCCUUUCAGCCUUUUGCAGGGUUGAGCACAGGCGAAGCAGGAGCUGUGCUUACCACUGCCUCGAGCAUCUCCCAGCGCAUGGGAUUUUAUUUAAAGUCCCAGCCUCUGGACUCGCACCAUUACAAGGACUUGAUUUUGCAGAGGCAUCAAAGCAUCACUCAAAAGGCAAACAGAAAUCAUCAUAUUCGGAGGGAUUUUUUUCGAUUGAGUAAGGAAUUUUGUGAUGUUUUGGUUUAUUGGGAGUUGAAGGGGUGAGGGUGCUGGCUUAGUGACUAAUUAACGAGGCUGCCGGCCCACCUGGGACAUGAUGGGGAUCAGGGGGUCCCCGCUUACGCGUAUGUGGGGGUCCUGCAGGAUCCAAAAUUCCUAUGGCUCUUUCAUCUGUACAUCUCCCUCUGCUGGGCUAAUGCAUUUUGGGAACACCAGGGUUUAGGCUUUGCUCAUCUUCCACUGCUUUGGUCACCUCAGUGUCUCCUGGUGGUGGUAGAUGGUGGCCAGCCCUACGUGGCCAGAACAUUCCCAGAGCUGGAACUGGUGACUGCACAGGCUUCGUGUGACAGAAAAGCUGCAAACAGAAAAACUUGAAAGGGAAAUGGUAGUAAGGGCUUGGAAUGAGUGGAAAAGGAUGUGCCGUGGACUGGCCUGGAGGUCAGAGGUUGGGGACAGUGGUGCUGGCACGUUUGGGAUAACUAACGGGUCCUCUGAAAUGAACCAUCGAAUCAUAGAAUGGCCUGGGUUGAAAAGGACCACAAUGAUCAUCGAGUUUCAACCCCUCUGCUAUGUGCAGGGUCGCCAACCACCAGACCAGGCUGCCCAGAGCCACAUCCAGCCUGGACCAAGAGUGUUUUGAACUGGCACAGCAAGAUGCCUUCUUUAAAAAUAGUGAAACAAAGUGUUCCAUCUUUCUUCUUCCCUCUCCUCGCAUGUCUUUCCAGGAAAAAAAAAAAAAAAAAAA